ACUUCCAUGGCGUAGUGGGCAGCGCGUUCGGUUGUUAACCGUGAGGUUUCAUGGUUCAAGUCUGCGUUGGAGCC